ACUUACUGUUCUGGAAAGAUAAUGACUUAUCUCAAAGAAGGGUCGAGGAAAUAGUAAAUAAUCUUCAACAGAAAAGGGAAAAUCUAGCGAAAGUAGAAAAUGGGGAUGGUAUUACAUCCUCCAAACCUCCACCUCCCGCCUAAGGGAGGAGGAAAAAGUCCAUACACUCAUGAGGACCUCCUCAUGUCCCUCUUCAUAGGAACCGAGCUCUCCUCUAGGAAUAUUCUUGUUCCCAGGAGCUGAAUCAGAGUUAGGAAUUACACUUACUGACCCGGACCUCGCGUUUCUGCGGAGACGCGGGAAACAAGACGUGUGCAGUCCGUCUGUCCGAUGAUAAGCCAGCCGACCUGGAGAGGGCCCUGGAAGGUCCCCAAAGUUCCGCGAGAGAUGGCCCGGCGAAGACAGACCUCCUGGACUUAAGGCCGAGUUCACCAAAUCCGCCCCGGGGAAAGGCGAGGGCAAAGGCGGGGUGGACCGACCCAGCUGCGGCUGAGUGGCUGAGGUCCCGAGCAGGGCAGACGAGCGCAGGAGAACUCAGGAGCAGAGAUGGGGAGCUGGAUCUGCGCAGAACCCCGGAAAAGCGCCAGCAGGACUGCACCGAGAACAAAUCCUCCGCUCCCUCGCCCAGGGCUGGGGCGCAGCGCGCUGGUGCUCCUCUGGAGCUGGGCGGUCCCCGUGCUCCAAACAAGAAGCUGACUUCUGGAUCCUUCACUCUUUGAUCCUGACCCAAGCCACUCGUGCCACCAGGAGCGCAUGCCUCUGGAAUACUCGCUCCUGUCUCCUUGUGGUGAAGCCUUCCGCUGAUGCCCAGAGUCUCCCAGGCUGAAUUAGUGGGUAGGAGCAAAACAGGAUGGUGGAGACGAUCAGCAGAGCAGCAGCGUCUGUUUCCUCGGGAUUCCUCCCAGGAACACUAUUCGAAGCCAUUCCUUCUAAAAGUUUGCAGCCAGUCUCUCUUUCCUUUGUUCGUUUUUAGAGGAGGCAGUAGAGCUACCUACAUUUAAAAAACCAAAGCCUGAUACUGAUAACCUAAGUCUUUACUUAACCAUCCUGUUUGGAGGCUUUGCACACAUUACUUUUCCUCUAUGCAUUGGCAUUUCUGAAAUAAGGAUGGUUAUGCUGGUGUGCUUGGAAUUUCUCUGAAAUAUACCCCAAAUGAUUAGACUAAAAAUCAGAUUCUGCUACUUUAAAAGGAAAAAAUAUAUAUUUAUCUGUUAAAAAAAAAAAAGGCAAUACAUGUUCUCCAAGAUGUUAAUUAAAGGCUUCUCUCAAAUGGAUUGGAUUUUCAAUUCCUUCAGGGUUUUUCCACACCCUAAUAGUAUUGCAACUGUAAGGCAUUUUUACAGUGUAAUCUGAUUAAUCUUCAGUUAAUAUAGAAUUAUGCCCACAGGAGUAUAGGAAUUGUUUAUAAAACAAAGCAGUCCAGGCUUUUCAAAUACCUAGAAACAAAGGUAAACAAAACUGGAAAUAUACAACGUGUUCUACACAGUUCCACUGAAAGUCUUUUUGUAGAUUUUUUUUUUUUUCCUUAAGAAAGUACUCUUUGCCCAAAUAUGUGUUCUAUGUGACGGGGUCCAUUCUUCUUAAUAUAUCUACACUGGUGAAGAAUGAACUAUAUACCAAUAAGGUAUAUUAUUGAAAGAGUAGAAAUGGAUUUAAACAACAACCACACAAACAAAUCAAAUAUCCAGCAAAACAGAUGAGUGUUGUCUUUCAGAGCAAUUGCUUUGGAAAAUUCAACUGAUUUCAGUGAUAUUGAUUGCACAAAACAUUUUUUAUCUUCUUUGAAAUUGCCUUUCAGAAGCAUAUUAGCAGCCAUAAACAACUAUUUGUCUCACUCCCUUAUAGAUGUGUAUUUGUCUUAGUAGAUUCAUAUAGUUCCACAGACAUCUAGUCAGCAACCUCGAAAGAGUAAAUGAUCUCUAUGAUUAAUGUCCUUUAAUAAAGUUUAGAAUUGGAUGAGAAACUGAUAAACUGAAAUUAAAGUCACUUUAUAGUGUAUCAUGUUAUCAAGGAUAGCUGUGGGAAUUAGCUUAUGACACUUUUGUGCAUCACAGUCUAAUUAAUAUCCUUAAAUGUGCAUGCAUAUCCUGUGUAUUGUAGUAACAACAAACCACUGUGAUGAAUGUCCAUAAACCCAAUUAUGACACUGACAGGAGAUUGGGAGUUUGUGGAAUUGGUGGUGAAAUAUCGAUUAAUCCAAAUUGAAAUAGGAUAAGAUUAUUGAUGCUUGAUUUCUUUUGUAUCAAAUCAUUUAGUUGCUCAGGAAAUUCCAUUUCUAACCAGAAUAUGUGCUGUGACUGCUCUUCAAAUAGAGAACAGACUCAAACUCACAUGCCUGCAUGGUUAGGGCCAAUGACAUAAAUGGACCAGCAAGCUAGGUUGUAGGAGAGUGUGGAAAAUGGUGAUUGCUAUAACACCUUGAAGAGCACAAAAGCACAUGCUAUAGCUGAAUGGGGAGAUUGCUUCUCAGAUUA
ensembl:lncRNA